ACGAACGCUGGCGGCGUGCUUAACACAUGCAAGUCGAACGGAAAGGCCUCUUUCGGGGGGUACUCGAGUGGCGAACGGGUGAGUAACACGUGAGUAACCUGCCCUUGACUUUGGGAUAACUUCAGGAAACUGGGGCUAAUACCGGAUAGGAGCUCCUGCUGCAUGGUGGGGGUUGGAAAGUUUCGGCGGUUGGGGAUGGACUCGCGGCUUAUCAGCUUGUUGGUGGGGUAGUGGCCUACCAAGGCUUUGACGGGUAGCCGGCCUGAGAGGGUGACCGGCCACAUUGGGACUGAGAAACGGCCCAGACUCCUACGGGAGGCAGCAGUGGGGAAUAUUGCACAAUGGGUGGAAGCCUGAUGCAGCAACGCCGUGUGCGGGAUGACGGCCUUCGGGUUGUAAACCGCUUUCGCUCAUGACGAAGCUUUGUGUGACGGUAGUGGGUAAAGAAGCACCGGCUAACUACGUG
rnacentral:rRNA from 1 species